rnacentral:ncRNA from 1 species
UGUUAUUUAAUACGAUAACCCGCGUAGAAUCUUACCACAUCUUGCAUACCUCAUUUAUCUUUAAGGAUAGAGUGUACAGGUGCUGCAUGGCUGUCGCCAGUUAGUGCUCGUGAGGCCUAAGGUUAAUUCCGUUGAACUAACGCAAUCCUUGCUAUGAGUUGAUAUCUCGUAGUUUCGUUCUGAUAAAGAACGAUUUUAGAAGGACUAUGACAAGCCCUCAUGGCCCUUAUGGUGUGGGCUAUAGACGUGCUACAAGAAUGCUUACAAAAUGAUGCAAUAUCGAAAGAAGGAGCUAAUCACAAAAUGGCAUUAAUGUACGGAUUGUAUUCUGGAACUCGAAUACAUGAAGCAGGAAUUCCGAGUAAUCGUGCAUCACCACGGCACGGUGAAAUUAAAUCUUACGGAGGUACUAACCGCUCGUCACGGGCUGAGAGAUCGAAAGCUAUGAAGUUGCGAUUGGAUAAUAUACCUACAAGUAUUCAAGUAAUCACCUAUAAGGUAAUGGUACUUAUCUAAUCGUUUCGAGUGGUCAAGAUUGAUUGGUCUGAAGUCGAAACAAGGUAGCUCUUGGGGAACCAGGUGCUGAUUAAUAACAAAU